GAAAGUAAGUAAGGGCGUAUGGGGGAUGCCUAGGCUCUUGGAGGCUAAGAAGGACGUGGUAAGCUGCGAAAAGCUGCGGGGAUUUGCAAACGAGACUCGAUCCGCAGAUAUCCGAAUGGGACAACCCGGCAGGUAGAAGACCUGUCACACCGCGAGGUGAGCUAACCCUCUGAACUGAAACAUCUAAGUAGGAGGAGGAAAAGAAAGAAACAUCGAUUUCCAAAGUAGCGGCGAGCGAAAUGGAAGAAGCCCAAACCGAUAUUGUUACGGCAAUAUCGGGGUUGUAGGACUGCAAUAUUCAAUUAACAAUGAACUGGAAUGGUCUGGAAAGUCCAUCCAUAGAGAGUGAAAGGCUCGUACAGGUAAGUUUGUUAUGCGAAAGCAGUAUCCUGAGUAUGGCGGGACACGAGGAAUCCUGUCAGAAUCAGCCGGGACCACCCGGUAAGGCUAAAUACUCCCAAGAGACCGAUAGUGGACCAGUACUGUGAAGGAAAGGUGAAAAGAACCCCGAACAGGGGAGUGAAAUAGAACCUGAAACCAUACGCUUACAACCGGUCGGAGCAGCUUCGUGCUGUGACGGCGUGCCUAUUGAAUAAUGAGCCUACGAGUUACUAAUCACUAGCGAGGUUAAGUGCAAGGAUGCACGGAGCCGAAGCGAAAGCGAGUCUGAACAGGGCGUUUAGUUAGUGGUUGUAGACGCGAAACCUUGCGAUCUACCCUUGAGCAGGUUGAAGGUUGGGUAAAACCAACUGGAGGACCGAACGAAUAAGCGUUGAAAAGCUUCUCGAUGACUUGAGGGUAGGGGUGAAAGGCUAAUCAAGCUGGGAAAUAGCUCGUACUCCCCGAAAUGCCUUUUGGGGCAGCGUUGUAAUAAAGAGUCUACUGGAGGUAGAGCUACUGAUUGGAUGCGGGGGCUUCACCGCCUACCAAAUCCUGACAAACUCCGAAUGCCAGUAGUAUGAUUUACAGCAGUGAGCGACCGGGUGCUAAUGUCCGGUCACAAAAGAGGAACAACUCAGACCAGCAACUAAGGUCCCCAAGAAUAUGCUAAGUUGAACUAACGAUGUUUUGUUGCAGAGACAGCUAGGAUGUUAGCUUGGAAGCAGCUAUUCAUUCAAAGAGUGCGUAACAGCUCACUAGUCGAGCGACAGAGCGUGGAUAAUAAACGGGCAUCAAGCAUAUCACCGAAGUUCUGGGCGCGAGAGCGCGGUAGGGGAGCAUUCCAUUCAGCGUCGAAGCAGUUUCGUGAGGAAUUGUGGAGCGUAUGGAAAAGCAAAUGUAGGCAUGAGUAACGAUAAUGCGGGAGAGUAACCCGCACACCGCAAGACCAAGGUUUCCUGAUCAACGCUAAUCGGAUCAGGGUUAGUCGGGUCCUAAGGGUAAGCCGAACGGCGAUCUCGAUGGAUAAUCGGUUAAUAUUCCGAUACUAACAUAUACCUCGAUGGAGAGACGAAGGAACGUAAGUGCCGCCACCUGACGGAAUAGGUGGUUAAAGGGCGUAGGUAUAGGGGCAGAUUAAGAGUUAGUCCUUGCUGAAACCUGACAGUACAGAGAGCCUACGGGCAAUUUGAUAGUGCACCCAAGUCGACUUCCGAGAAAAUCUUCUAAGUUAUAGUAUAUGUUACCCGUACCGUAAACCGACACAGGUGGUCGAGGAGAGUAUCCUAAGGUGCUCGAGUGAAUCACGGUUAAGGAACUAGGCAAAUUAACCCCGUAACUUCGGGAAAAGGGGUCCCUAUGAAAGUAGGGCGCAGCGAAGAGGUCCAGGCGACUGUUUAUCAAAAACACAGGGCUCUGCAAAUUCGAAAGAAGACGUAUAGGGCCUGACACCUGCCCGGUGCUGGAAGGUUAAGAGGGGAUGUCAUCGCAAGAGAAGCAUUGAAUCGAAGCCCCAGUAAACGGCGGCCGUAACUAUAACGGUCCUAAGGUAGCGAAAUUCCUUGUCGGGUAAGUUCCGACCUGCACGAAUGGUGUAA
rnacentral:rRNA from 1 species